CUUCAGCGAGCCCAGCCACAGGGGACGUUCACGGUCCUGGCCGUAGGUGGCCAGCAGGGCCUGCGCCUC
rnacentral:antisense_RNA from 1 species